GUCUACAAACAUACAACCCUGAACGCGCCUGAUCUCGUCUGAUCUCGGAACUAAGCAGGGUCGGGCCUGGUUAGCACUUAGAUGGGCGACAAAACGCUAUCCUUUUCCCUCUUGUCU
ensembl:rRNA 5S_rRNA 5S ribosomal RNA